GACGUAGGGCGCGAGCGUUGUCCGGAUUUAUUGGGCGUAAAGAGCUCGUAGGCGGCUUGUUACGUCGUUCGUGAAAACUUGGGGCUCAACCCCAAGCUUGCGGUCGAUACGGGCAGGCUAGAGUUCGGUAGGGGAGACUGGAAUUCCUGGUGUAGCGGUGAAAUGCGCAGAUAUCAGGAAGAACACCCGUGGCUAAGGCGGCUCUCUAGUACGGUACUGACGCUGAGACGCGAAAGCGUGGGGAGCGAACAGG
rnacentral:rRNA from 1 species